rnacentral:rRNA from 1 species
GAUGAACGCUGCCAGAAUGCUUAACACAUGCAAGUCUUUGGCGAAGCUGUGCUUGCACAGCCUAGCCAAGGCGGACGGGUGAGUAACGCGUAAGGAACUUGCCCUGCAGUCAGGGAUAACAGACGGAAACGACUGAUAAGACCUGGUAAAGUCAGGCGGACUCAUGUCCAGCCUGAUGAAAAGUGAUGCUGCAGGAGAGCCUUGCGUCCUAUUAGCUUGUUGGUGGGGUAACGGCCCACCAAGGCGAUGAUAGGUAGCCGGCCUGAGAGGGUGGACGGCCACAAGGGGACUGAGAUACGGCCCUUACUCCUACGGGAGGCAGCAGUGGGGAAUAUUGGACAAUGGGGGCAACCCUGAUCCAGCAAUUCUGUGUGCACGAUGAAGGUUUUCGGAUUGUAAAGUGCUUUCAGCAGGGAAGAAAAAAAUGACGGUACCUGCAGAAGAAGCGACGGCUAAAUACGUG